rnacentral:antisense_RNA from 19 species
UUUUAUGGCGGGCCGGGCGGGGCAGCCUUCGGGCUGGCCGGUGGCCUCCUUUGCCGGUUUUCCACCCCCGCUGUCAGGCCCGCCACCCC